AACCAAAAAAAACAAAAAAAAAAAGAAAAAAAAAAAAAAAAAAAAAAAAAGCAAAACAAA
rnacentral:rRNA from 1 species